UGGGGAAUUUUGGACAAUGGGCGAAAGCCUGAUCCAGCAAUGCCGCGUGUGUGAAGAAGGCCUUCGGGUUGUAAAGCACUUUUGUCCGGAAAGAAAUCCUUGGCUCUAAUACAGUCGGGGGAUGACGGUACCGGAAGAAUAAGCACCGGCUAACUACGUGCCAGCAGCCGCGGUAAUACGUAGGGUGCAAGCGUUAAUCGGAAUUACUGGGCGUAAAGCGUGCGCAGGCGGUUUGCUAAGACCGAUGUGAAAUCCCCGGGCUCAACCUGGGAACUGCAUUGGUGACUGGCAGGCUAGAGUAUGGCAGAGGGGGGUAGAAUUCCACGUGUAGCAGUGAAAUGCGUAGAGAUGUGGAGGAAUACCGAUGGCGAAGGCAGCCCCCCUGGGGCCAAAUACUGACGCUCAUGCACGAAAGCGUGGGGAGCAAAACAGGAUUAGAUACCCUGGUAGUCCACGCCCCUAAACGAUGUCAACUAGUUGUUGGGGAUUCAUUUCCUUAGUAACGUAGCUAACGCGUGAAGUUGACCGCCUGGGGAGUACGGUCGCAAG
rnacentral:rRNA from 1 species